rnacentral:rRNA from 1 species
AUACGUAGGGUGCGAGCGUUGUCCGGAAUUACUGGGCGUAAAGAGCUCGUAGGUGGUUUGUCGCGUCGUCUGUGAAAUUCCGGGGCUUAACUCCGGGCGUGCAGGCGAUACGGGCAUAACUUGAGUACUGUAGGGGAGACUGGAAUUCCUGGUGUAGCGGUGAAAUGCGCAGAUAUCAGGAGGAACACCGGUGGCGAAGGCGGGUCUCUGGGCAGUAACUGACGCUGAGGAUCGAAAGCAGUGGUAGCGAACAGGAUUAGAUUCCCUGGUAGUCCAUGCCGUAAACGGUGGGCGCUAGGUGUAGGGGUCUUCCACGACUUCUGUGCCGUAGCUAACGCAUUAAGCGCCCCGCCUGGGGAGUACGGCCGCAAGGCUAAAACUUAAAGGAAUUGACGGGG